CCUACGGGGGGCUGCAGUUGGGAAUAUUGCACAAUGGAGGAAACUCUGAUGCAGCAAUGCCGCGUGAGGGAUGAAGGCUUUCGGGUUGUAAACCUCUUUUAGCAAAGAAAAAGAUCUGAUUGUAUUUGCAGAAAAAGCACCGGCUAACUCCGUGCCAGCAGCCGCGGUAAUACGGAGGGUGCAAGCGUUGUUCGGAAUCAUUGGGCGUAAAGCGCGUGUAGGCGGUUUCCUAAGUCUGAUGUGAAAGCCCAGGGCUUAACCCUGGAAGUGCAUUGGAUACUGGGUGACUAGAGGGUAAGAGAGGAAGGCGGAAUACCUGGUGUAGGGGUGAAAUCCGUAGAUAUCAGGAGGAACAUCAGUGGCGAAGGCGGCUUUCUGGCUUAUUUCUGACGCUCAGACGCGAAAGCAUGGGUAGCAAACAGGAUUAGAUACCCUAGUAGUC
rnacentral:rRNA from 1 species